rnacentral:rRNA from 1 species
UACGAAGGGGGGCUAGCGUUGCUCGGAAUCACUGGGCGUAAAGGGUGCGUAGGCGGGUCUUUUAAGUCAGGGGUGAAAUCCUGGAGCUCAACUCCAGAACUGCCUUUGAUACUGAAGAUCUUGAGUUCGGGAGAGGUGAGUGGAACUGCGAGUGUAGAGGUGAAAUUCGUAGAUAUUCGCAAGAACACCAGUGGCGAAGGCGGCUCACUGGCCCGAUACUGACGCUGAGGCACGAAAGCGUGGGGAGCAAACAG